UGUUGGCCAUUUUCUUAGAACACAUCAUUUUCCAUCUUGCUGCUACUGCUCUUUCCUUCAAAUGAUCUUUUAAAAUAAUCUAUCCACCUACCCAUUGCCAUCUUCUCUUUUUUGCUUUGACUUCCCCCCCCACAAAAAAAGCCAAUUUCCGUUUCACAGCUAGUGGAUAAUUACUCUUUGAUCUGCUAGUAGGGGAGGAAACAUCAGAAGCCAUCAAGAUCCAGGACCGUGAAAAGAGAUGAAUCAAAUGUGAUGAGAUGCUACUCUUCAAAGGAAGAGACAACCUGGUGAGCAAUCCUUGCCAUUGUUUAGCUUCCGGCACGUUCAUUGUCAAGAGUAUCACACAACGUUUGCCCAGUCUGAAUCUAACGACUUUCUGCUGCAGGGGACUUUUGGAACAGAAUGGUCAUGAAGAUAUGAAUUUGAACAUGUUCUUGGACAUGAAAUCAAUCCUCUGACACAGUAUAUAAGGAUGUUUGCUGUCUGUGGACAUUAAUCAGGCUUCUCUCAAUUAUAUCGCCUUUGUAAUCCUUCCUUCGACACAACUUUAUGGAGGGGUCAGCAUGGGAUCAAAUCCAAUAGUGAUGAGGAAGGAUCUGUGUAUUUGUGCAGUUCUCCUAGUGGAGAUCUUCUCAAGGGACUAUGGGAGAGAGUCCUGCAAGUGCAUGCCAAGCUCAGAAGUUAUGGCACAUAAGUAACAGAAAAUAAAGUGGUUUCUGCCCACGUGGUUUCCCUACAUAGUUUGCCUACAUUCCUGUCAUAUUAGAUUCCCUCAGCAACCAGAUAAUGGGAGAAUGACUGGUCACUCAGCAGCUUCAUGGCCAAAGUUGGAAGUCUGCCCUGAAUGCUAGGACCGAAGCUCUCUGGAAAUGUAACCUAAUAAAGCUGUAACCAAUUUGC